rnacentral:misc_RNA from 1 species
AGCAGCCGCGGUAAUUCCAGCUCCAAUAGCGUAUAUUAAAGUUGCUGCAGUUAAAAAGCUCGUAGUUGAAUUUCGGGAUCAAUAUGUUGGUCGUGCCUCGGUACGUACUAGCUUAUUGGUUUCUUCCUUCUGACGAACCAUGAUGUCAUUUAUUUGGUGUUAUGGGGAAUCAGGACUGUUACUUUGAAAAAUUAGAGUGUUUAAAGCAGGCUCACGCUUGAAUACAUUAGCAUGGAAUAAUGAAAUAGGACGUUUGAUUCUAUUUUGUUGGUUUCUAGGAUCGACGUAAUGAUUAAUAGGGAUAGUUGGGGGCAUUAGUAUUCAAUUGUCAGAGGUGAAAUUCUUGGAUUUAUUGAAGACUAACUACUGCGAAAGCAUUUGCCAAGGAUGUUUUCAUUAAUCAAGAACGAAAGUUAGGGGAUCGAAGACGAUCAGAUACCGUCGUAGUCUUAACCAUAAACUAUGCCGACUAGGGAUCGGAUGAUGUUAAUUUUUAAUGUACUCAUUCGGCUACCG